rnacentral:sRNA from 1 species
AAAAAGAAUAGAUUUGCCGUAGACAGUAGGUGCCGAAAGGCUUAAAAUCCUACCGAGGUUUUAGAUAAAUUGAAAUUACUAAAGCUUUUGUUGUCUACUUUUGACUCAAAAGCUUUUUUA